AUCUCCCUAUUGCUCGAGCAUCGGCUUGAACGGACGUUGGGUGAAUUUUGGGCUGCAAAGGCUGCCGUAGAGGGGCGUGGCGACGGAGCCGCGAUUUUGUUCCCACAGUUCACGUGCCGGCAGCAGCGGAUCUUCUCAGACCUACCAUGGCUCAGCCGGGGGCUCUAAACCUCAAUAACGAGGUUGUGAAGAUGAGAAAAGAAGUGAAGAGAAUCCGAGUGCUGGUUAUCCGAAAACUUGUCAGGAGUGUUGGCAGACUGAAGUCAAAAAAGGGUACUGAAGAUGCACUGUUAAAAAACCAGAGACGGGCACAGCGAUUGCUUGAAGAAAUUCAUGCUAUGAAGGAAUUAAAACCUGAUAUAGUAACUAAAUCUGCUCUUGGUGAUGAUAUCAACUUUGAAAAAAUCUGCAAAAAGCCUGAUUCUACUGCAACCGAAAGAGCGGUUGCCAGACUAGCGAUGCAUCCUCUUCUGAAGAAAAAAAUAGAUGUGCUAAAAGCUGCUGUCAAAGCCUUUAAAGAUGCAAGACAGAAUGUUGUUGAAGUUAAAUCAUCAGAGAAUGCUUCAGAAGAAAAUCAUUCCAAGGACACUUUGUGUUCAAAUGAUGAUGCCAGUAAGUUACAGCAUGAAGGAACUAUUAUCAGUGAACAAAAAGAGAAAGAAGCCAAAAUAUUGGCAAAGAAACCAAUAAAUUCAAAAGAAAAAAGAACCAAGAUGGAACAUGGACCCAGUGCUGUAGAUGUUCCAAAUUCUCCAUCAAAGCCUUCUGAAAGGGCUGAUGUAGUUUCUUCUGAGCCCCAGAAGACACCUGCUGACCCAAAAAUGAAAACCUUAAGUAAAACUAAAAAAGGGAAAGAGUCCAGUAGCUCCCUUGAUUCUAACAGUGAUGGAGAAGAAUUACAAGAAGAAGAAAAGGAGUAUUUCGAUGAUAGCACGGAAGAAAGGUUUUACAAACAGUCCUCCAUGUCUGAAGAUAGUGACAGUGGUGAUGACUUCUUCAUUGGGAAAGUCAGACGGACACGAAAGAAGGAAAGCAGUUGCCAUUCUUCAGUUAAGGAACAAAAGCCCCCCCAAAAAAUGUUACUUGAGGAAGAUACGCUUGAAACCCAUCAGAGUAUAAGAAAUGCCAUAAACAAGCCAAAUACAGAAUCAAGGAAGUUUGAGUCAGUGUUUUUCCAUUCUUUAUCUGGAUCUAAAAGCUCUAGAAGAAAUUACAGAGAACAGGCUCCAAAAAGCAAAACCCCAGGUUUUCAGCAAAAUGAACCUCAGCUCAAGAAUCUGUUUAAUAAGAGCGCACAAAGAGGACUUGAAAGUACAAAACAGCAGUCACAGCUGCCUCUUCAUCCUUCGUGGGAAGCAAGCAGGAGGCGAAAAGAACAGCAAUCUAAAAUUGCUGUGUUUCAGGGGAAAAAAAUUACAUUUGAUGAUUAAUUAGUACCUCUUUUUGUGAACCAGCCCGUUAUUAAAGUUAUGUUUACAUCCAUGAUAGUUUUGAAAACCAACAGCCACAAUCACAGUGAAAACCGGAAGCCUGGCAGCCACCAGGAGAAGCAGAACAAGGCUGGAGCUUCUUCAACAGUAUAUGCACUGAGAAUUGUCAUUAUUUGACCAAUGUGGUAGUUCACUGGAAGACCCCACUUAACUGAGAACUUGCUCAUUGUGAAAGUCUUUUUCCUGAUACCACUUUUCAAAAACAGAGCAGGAUGUUGACAUCCUGGGCUCCCUUGCAAGAUAGCUUUUGAAGAUGAAGUUUCUGCCAGCCAGGGUCCUUGCAUGAUUGCAUGGAGCAGAUCCCCUCAACCCAGCCCUGCACCUGUUGAGCUUUACAUGAGCAACAAGUUGACCCUUCUUUUUACAACUCCAGUGUGAGUGUUUGGAUAAGAAAGAACUAAAGUCUUCUCACUGAAAAGAAUGAGCUUCCUUUCUGAAAUGCCCUAAGACUUCAUGACACACAGAAGGUGGGGUGAGAGUGAGCAGGCUGUUUAGACCUGCCAGUAGGGAAGGUGGGUAGUGUUGAAAGGGAGAGCAGGAUGGGAUUACUUCCUUCUGGAGUAAAAAUCAGCCCUCAGGUGCUGAUAAUAAGGGAUUUUCUUCACAGAAAUCAGUUGAAUGAGUAGCUGGAAGGAAAGGUCAUGAGUUGUACUAUAGAGAUGUUGAUUUUGUUAAUCUUUUUGUUAGACAUAAAUAGGGUGGCUUGUUGGCUCCCAGUAAUCUUCUCAUUGACAAUACCCAUAAUAAUUCACCCCCUACCUCUGGAGUAAUCAUUUUCUUUUCCUUCACUUUCCUUUCACACCCACACAUAAAGCCAAAAUGCAGUCACGUGUUUGGGUGGGAGCAGCCAUUCUCUUACUUGACCAUGUAACCUUGACUUUGGUGAUUGAAUAAGAACGAGCACUUGACUCAAUCUGGACCCGUCAUAAUAUCCACAUUAACUGGGUCUGGGUUUGGCACAUGACGGAGUCUGAGCCUAUGAAAUGCUGUCCUCUGGAUUUUCAAAUUUGAGCUAUAGAUGAAUACUAUUUCCUUUCUGAUCAACAAGCCAGGUAGAUAUGCGCCCAAACGUGUUAUCUGUAAGCAACACGGUUUCCAUCCUCAUGGAGAAACUAAACCAAGAGAAUGAUGUUGACACAAAUAAACAGAGAAAAGGAGGUAAGAAUGUGGCCUUGAUGGUGUUUGAUUUCCUGAUAACAUCUGCUCCUUAGGCAAACCCUAACUUUGUCUUUCCUCUUUUUGGUUGCAUGAGUCUGUGAAUUCUUUUUUAGACUAAGCAAGUUUAAGAUAUAUUUCUGUUACCAGAAACCAUAGAGCCCUAAAACAAAAAUGAAGUGAUCACAACUACAGAUUGUUGAUACAUCCAUGAAUGUUAGCUGCAGCAGCAACCCAACUAUAGAUUGUUAGAAAAGUUUUUUUUUCCUAAUACCAUCCCUCUAAAAAAAGUUAUGUCAUUGUAAUAACUGAAAAUAGUUGACUCUGAUGUUUGCUGUCUAACAGUGGUAUAAUUCGCCUGUUUGCAAGUGACUCGCUGUAAUAUUGGUAACAUUGGCACCACAUUUGUCUGGCUCCAGAUUUCUGUGUUGGUUCAAUAAAGGCUGCAUCUGUCCCUAGAGCUAUGAUGACACUUGUCAAGCACAGGCUCACCUCCUUUACGGAAGAAUGAAAAGGCUCCCUGCAAGGUGAAUGCAGCCCGAGCCACAGUGCGUGGCCGUGUCCAUGGAACCCAGCUGCUCUGUGGAAGCCUCACACUUGCCCCGGCCAGGAGCCCAGUGGUGGGGAAGAAUCUGCACAGCUAGGUUGAGGUGAGUUUGGGAAAUCCCACAGACGACAGAUUUACAUGUGGCCAACCCCUUCCCUGGUGUGUGUAUCCAGGAGAAAUGUGUAUUAAGAGCAAGUUGCUGGUGUAGCUCUGUGACAAGUCUCCAUGUGACCCUGGAGGCAGUGGUGCCUCUCCCACGUUGACGCAUGUUCAGCAUCAUUCCCAUAGUGUUUUUAUAGUUGGGAUCAGUCGAAGGUAGCACAGGGGGUAGGCUCGCCAACCCACCAACACUAGAGCAGGCCGGGCUUACAGGACGGAGAAGGACAGAGACAAGCCAAUCUAACCCCCUGAUUUUGCUCCGGUGACUCUCAUCACAGCAUCACCCCUUUGAUAUUCAUGUGCUGGGAUUCCCUCUUAGAUUUCAUUCAAGGAAGGGUUUGGGGGCUAGGCAAAUGAUGGCGGAACCUCCACACACCCCUCCUUUUUCUAGGGUAUUUUUCUAGUCCUUGUGGUUUUAGAACUCAAAUUCGUAAUAUCUUGGUUUCUACAGAACAGGCGGUCUGACCUCUUCCAUGGAGUACUUUAAGGCAAUGAUUUUCAAAAUGCACUUUAAAGAACUCUAGGAAUUUCUUCAGAGCUGCUUCACGGACUCUGGCGAAGAGACAGGAAAUCCAACUGUUUGGGAUCCCUCAAGGUCAUCCACAUGGCAUAUGGCAUGUUUUACAUACUCAGCCACCACACGGGCUUUUCGGGGAAGGGUGCUGAGCUGUGUAUCUUCUCACAUAAGGAAAGAACAAGAAAAAACUGCUCAAAUUGCCGAAGGUUUCAGGGCAUCCAGCAGGAUUUCCCGGCAUUACCAAGAUUCUUGGGCAAGUUACCAAGGCAAAUUAUAGAAUCAUCUUAUACAAAGAUCUUUAAAUUUAGGACAGACCAGACAAUUACCCUGGGUUUGACACAGGCAUUUUAAAAGAUAGAGGUAGGUCCUUCUCAGCUCAUGGAGUAUAUCAUCUCUAUCUUUCUUUGAGAUUGGUGUAUGAAUCCUUCUGAUAACUAGUGGUUUUUAUUAAAUGCUAACUAGGGUGCUGGGUGGCUCAGUUGGUUAAGCGUCUGUCUUAGGCUGAGGUCAGGAUCCCAGGGUCCUGGGGUCGAGUCCCACAUCGGGCUCCCUGCUCCAUGGGGCGUCUGCUUCUCCCUCUGCCCCUCCUCCCACUGGUUCUCUCAAUCUCUCUGUCCCUCUCUCUCAAAUAAGUAAAUAAAAUCUUUUUUUAAAAAAAGUGCUAACUAACUGUAGAUGAUUUUGGCUACAACAAGCUUUUUUAUAAAUCUUACCUGUAGUAUACUGAAAUAAAAUUCUAGUGAAGACAAUUGCUGUAUCCUAUCAGCAGUUUUAAUGAGCUGGACUUAGAAUUUCCAUUUUAAAAACAGGAUCUGGUAGUGGAUGUAUUUUCUUAAAGAUAGACUCCCUUGAUGAUGUCACAUUACACAGAGAAAAUUCUAGAAAUGAGACUUUGCAUUUGCACAUUAAGAACUACCUGAAAAAGGAAAACUCAACUCGAAGUACUCAGGAGGCCCAUCCACUUACUGGUGAC